rnacentral:rRNA from 1 species
ACGGGUGAGUAACGCGUGGGUAAUCUACCCCGGUCUGGGGGAUAACGCACCGAAAGGUACGCUAAUACCGCAUGACCCGACGGGUCCUUGAAUCCGUCGGAAAAGGUGGCCUCUACAUGUAAGCUACCGAACUGGGAUGAGCCCGCGUCCUAUUAGCUAGUUGGUGGGGUAAAGGCCUACCAAGGCGACGAUGGGUAGCUGGUCUGAGAGGACGGCCAGCCACACUGGAACUGGUACACGGUCCAGACUCCUACGGGAGGCAGCAGUGAGGAAUAUUGCGCAAUGGGGGAAACCCUGACGCAGCGAUGCCGCGUGGGUGAAGAAGGCCUUCGGGUCGUAAAGCCCUGUCAAACGGGAAGAACAGUUUGGAGACGAAUAAUCUUCAGGCCCGACGGUACCGUUGAAGGAAGCACCGGCUAACUCCGUGCCAGCAGCCGCGGUAAGACGGAGGGUGCAAGCGUUAUUCGGAUUUAUUGGGCGUAAAGAGCAUGUAGGCGGUCGGUCAAGUCUGAUGUGAAAUCCCGGGGCUUAACCUCGGAAGGGCGUUGGAAACUGGUCGACUUGAGUUCGGGAGAGGAAAG